CAAUCAGGUCAGUAUUUGUAUAGUCUCCACUAAAGUUUUUGGAGAACCAUUCUUCUGUUCUUUGUCGGAUUGAGAUCGAAGAAAGAAAGAAGAAAGUGGCAAACAAUAAAAUGGCCUGCACUCAUCUGGUUCAACCUUUCUCGGCGAUCGUCUCACUCAUAAUAACAAAGGUCGAAUUCCACAAUGUGCAGGAUUAUUUGUAGCUCACGUUACCAUUCACAUGGAGAUCUCUUUGAGUCUUGAUUUUAUUUUCUGCACUAGUUCUAUUUGUUUCUGAAUAUGUAAACAGGUAGUAGCUUUGGAACUUAUGGUGUAUUGACUUUUGAAUGUUAUAACUUAUAAGUAUUGCAUGAUCUUCUUCAGAUAUGUUAUCUUUGGUCUGCUGGGUAUUAGUUGAUAAUGAUAUCAAACGAAAAGGAGUACUAAACUAUAGCUGGUCAACUUAACAUGCUUGAACCUUAUUAACGAUUAAAGUCCUUAAAAAAAGAUUCCCUAUAGCCUAAGGACAUUUACAUUGCUGGCAGAAGCAAUAAAGCAACAGAUAUUCCUUUUUUAUAUCCUUUUAUCUACCCAAGUUGAACUGAAUGCCAUUGCUAACUUCUUUUUAUUGGCGCAAAAAGAUUAAGAAUGUGGUUAAAGUUGUAUCAGCUGUACGUGGGCUUUUGUGCAGGACACAGGCUGUGGGUAGUCUACUUUGUAUUCAGGUCAUUGUCAAAAUGCAGCCUCUCGUUCGCGUUCGUCGUGCUCUAGCCAUGGAGGGGUCAGUUAUCAAAGAACAAAUUAAAGGAUAGUGGAAAUUGUAUAAAUACCUCGAAAAGUUCCGUGACAACCAUGCUGUUAUAAACUCGGGAUAAAAACGAAGACAAUGGGUUUGCUCGUCAGCUGUUGGAAUCAACACCAAAAAAGGCAGGUUCCCGGCAAAUGUGAUUCCCCAAGGCCUGAUUCGUGGAUAUGGUUUGAUAGGUGGACUACUGUCUUGUCUUCGAAAUAUACACAUGCACAGAAAACAGAGGUUAGAUCAGACAACAAGGAACCAGGAGAAAGGGCUGAGACCAGUUUUUCAAACUGGGAGGUCAAAUUCCAGAUGAAAAUAUUGGAAAUGAUAACCUGAUAUGAAAUUACUAGAUUUCCCUGCCAAUGAGAUAAAGGGGGGAAAUUUUCAAUUGCAAAGUAAGGUUUUUUAUCUUUGUUUUUGUGAUGUUUUUGCGCGUGAAUUCAGAUUUCUUUUGCAUGAACUUAAUAAUGUUUUUAGUAUUUGUUGAUACAACGCUAUGGAAGCUCAGUAAAGUACAGGUUCUAAUCCAUCACCUAGGUAUUGGUACACCAAUCUGGAUCCGACACUUUGAGCACCAAAGUUCACCUCACAAUCCACCAAAGUUCACCCUCACAAUCCAUGAGCCAGACAUUGCAAUUGGUGCAACUUAAAUAGUACAAACCCUUUGCUUUUAUCAAUUGAGUGGUUAUUGCUUUGCACAUUGUCUUGUGCAUAAACUGUCGUCAUCAUUCCAUUAUUAUGGUAAGAAAUUUUCCUUGACUACAGUGAUAUUGAGAGUUGAUUAUACAUACAUUGUAACUGUGUCCAUUCUAUUUCAAACAAUUCUGCAAUGAUUUGACUCUCGCUCCAAUCCAAUUCAUUUUCUUGUA